AUGAACGCUGGCGGCGUGCCUAAUACAUGCAAGUCGCGCGAACGGACGAGAAGCUUGCUUCUCUGAUGUUAGCGGCGGACGGGUGAGUAACACGUGGAUAACCUACCUAUAAGACUGGGAUAACUUCGGGAAACCGGAGCUAAUACCGGAUAAUAUUUUGAACCGCAUGGUUCAAAAGUGAAAGACGGUCUUGCUGUCACUUAUAGAUGGAUCCGCGCUGCAUUAGCUAGUUGGUAAGGUAACGGCUUACCAAGGCAACGAUGCAUGGCCGACCUGAGAGGGUGAUCGGCCACACUGGAACUGAGACACGGUCCAGACUCCUACGGGAGGCAGCAGUAGGGAAUCUUCCGCAAUGGGCGAAAGCCUGACGGAGCAACGCCGCGUGAGUGAUGAAGGUCUUCGGAUCGUAAAACUCUGUUAUUAGGGAAGAACAUAUGUGUAAGUAACUGUGCACAUCUUGACGGUACCUAAUCAGAAAGCCACGGCUAACUACGUG
rnacentral:rRNA from 1 species